rnacentral:snRNA from 1 species
AUACUUACCUGGCAGGGGAGAUACCAUGAUCAGAAAGGUGGUUUUCCCAGGGCGAGGCUUAUCCAUUGCACUCGGGAUGUGCUGACCCCUGCGAUUUCCCCAAAUGUGGGAAACUCGACUGCAUAAUUUGUGGUAGUGGGGGACUGCGUUCGCGCUCUCCCCUG